rnacentral:rRNA from 1 species
AAGAUGGCGACCGGCGCACGGGUGAGUAACACGUAUCCAACCUGCCGAUAACUCUGGAAUAGCCUUUCGAAAGAAAGAUUAAUACCGGAUAGUAUACGAAUAUCGCAUGAUAUUUUUAUUUAAAGAAUUUCGGUUAUCGAUGGGGAUGCGUUCCAUUAGGUUGUUGGCGGGGUAACGGCCCACCAAGCCUUCGAUGGAUAGGGGUUCUGAGAGGAAGGUCCCCCACAUUGGAACUGAGACACGGUCCAAACUCCUACGGGAGGCAGCAUG